CAUACCAUUUUUGAGGCUACGAUUCCUAUAACUUGCCUUGUCAAUUUGAUAAAAUUACAUGUGUAAUGGAGGUUGUAACUUAUUACGGUUUACAUUGUCAGAAUGAUAUCUGUGUCAUCUCUGAACAUAUGUAUAUAUUUGGUGUGCCGGAUUUUCUGAUGUAGAUGCUAUAUAAGAGGAAGCUAUUCGACAAUCCUGCUCAAGUUGGUACGGAUCAGAUCGAUUUUAUUCAGUAAAUAUUUAUGCUUGAUAGAUACAAGCCUCCCUCUUCUGUCCUUCUUUUCUCCAUCCUCUACAGAUCGCCAGCACAUGUGAAUCGUUCUCGUCAAGAGCAUGCUUGUGACAUCAUUACUAUAUGUGAUGCAGGGCAAAAGGAUGCUGUCAGAAUGUAAAAGCACAUUUAACCAUUUCCUGUUUUUUUCCUUGCCUGUUUUCGCCGUCGUAUACACUGCAUCUCCCAUUGUAACGGACAGCCAAAUUUGUAUUCUUGAAAGUUUUAAUCAUUUCUAUUGCAGUGUUCAAGUGCAAUCUCUAGCCAAGUUCUCUUUGUUGUUGUGUUGAAUUUUGAGGAAAGGCGGCCAAGCAGCUCGUGGCAUCUGUGUCAUGCCUGCUCUGCCGCUGCCUUGACCCGCCGACGACGUCGCCGGUUGAGCCGCAAGGGUGCAAGAUCAUCGUGGGGCCCAUUGCAUGGGCUCCGAGUAUGCUUGAUUGCCAUGUCGGAGGCGAAGGUGCUAGAGCUUGGUGGCGUGUUUGCAUUUCUGGAUGCAUGAAUAAUUGUCAAGGAGGCCGAAGCCAGCGCUAUUACAGUUGGACUGAAGGAAUUGUAUAACGUAUUCUGAGGCUCCUUGGUGGUGGAGAUCGACUACGCAGUGGGGAAAUGAGCUAGGGGCUGAUUCUAACUGUCAAGAGGGACAAACAAUGGGCUGGCUCAUGAACUAGCCAAUGAUUCUAAAGCUCAUGGAGACCUUGUGGUUGCGUAUGGUGUCCCGGACCAACUCCAUGAUCAGCUCUGGAAGGAAAACAAUGCAGCCUUGACGUCGGCCUAAGUCUUGAUGUAAUCCUCAAAAAAGAUACUGCUUGCAGACAUGUUAUACAUAAACAUGCAUGUUGUAGGUCUAUUAAUUUUAAUUUUGAAUACUGAGAUCUAUUCAGAUGCUUUCCUUACUCUUAUGGCUAAAAAAAUCCAGCAGACAGUGACUGAAAUUUGUUAGUUUCACUCAACGUGCUGCUGCUU